UACGUAGGGUGCGAGCGUUGCCCGGAUUUAUUGGGCGUAAAGGGCGCGUAGGCGGUUCGUCGCGUCGGCUGUGAAAACCCGGAGCUCAACUCCGGGCCUGCAGUCGAUACGGGCGGACUCGAGUUCGGCAGGGGAGACUGGAAUUCCUGGUGUAGCGGUGGAAUGCGCAGAUAUCAGGAGGAACACCGAUGGCGAAGGCAGGUCACUGGGCCGCAACUGACGCUGAGGAGCGAAAGCAUGGGGAGCGAACAGG
rnacentral:rRNA from 1 species